ACGGAAGGUCCGGGCGUUAUCCGGAUUUAUUGGGUUUAAAGGGAGCGUAGGCCGCCCCUUAAGCGUGUUGUGAAAUGCGGGUGCUCAACAUCCGACUUGCAGCGCGAACUGGGGGGCUUGAGUGCGCCGAAAGUAGGCGGAAUUCGUGGUGUAGCGGUGAAAUGCUUAGAUAUCACGAAGAACUCCGAUUGCGAAGGCAGCUUACUGUAGCGCAACUGACGCUGAUGCUCGAAAGCGUGGGUAUCGAACAGG
rnacentral:rRNA from 1 species